rnacentral:rRNA from 1 species
AUUGAACGCUGGCGGCAGGCCUAACACAUGCAAGUCGAGCGGAUGAAGGGAGCUUGCUCCUGGACUCAGCGGCGGACGGGUGAGUAAUGCCUAGGAAUCUGCCUGGUAGUGGGGGAUAACGUCCGGAAACGGGCGCUAAUACCGCAUACGUCCUGAGGGAGAAAGUGGGGGAUCUUCGGACCUCACGCUAUCAGAUGAGCCUAGGUCGGAUUAGCUAGUUGGUGGGGUAAAGGCCUACCAAGGCGACGAUCCGUAACUGGUCUGAGAGGAUGAUCAGUCACACUGGAACUGAGACACGGUCCAGACUCCUACGGGAGGCAGCAGUGGUGAAUAUUGGACAAUGGGCGAAAGCCUGAUCCAGCCAUGCCGCGUGUGUGAAGAAGGUCUUCGGAUUGUAAAGCACUUUAAGUUGGGAGGAAGGGCAGUAAGUUAAUACCUUGCUGUUUUGACGUUACCAACAGAAUAAGCACCGGCUAACUUCGUG